AUGGAUGCAUUUAAAUGGUUAUGGAUGUCGGACUUUCAAAGUGUUGAUAUAAUAAUGAAACGGUUGAAUCUUGAAAGGAUAAUCGGAUUGAAGUAACUUAUGCGGUUAGAAUAUGCGGUGGACGUUUUAGUUUAUACAACAUUUUAUGUUUGGUCGUCAUCAUCUACCAACGGGUUAGUUGUUUGAAAAUAUAUGUCAUACCCAUUAAAUUGGGUAAUCGAAUGCGCGAGAGAAAUUAAAGUACAUACACGAACGGAACUAAAGUGACGGUUUUAUAAGUAAAUAAGUAAAUGACUAACUUUUUAAAGCUUUGUUGUUGAAUGUAGGUAAAUCCUCAAUUCAGGCGACUUGGAGAAUCGGAGCGAGCGCGUGUUCAUGUUAUGUCAUACCAAACGCUUCCGCUAGUUUGUCCAAAUGUUUUUGGUCCAAAAUUUGUUGUAAUGGUUUUUAGUAGUAUUUUGUUGAACGACUCGUAGAAUUGUAUCUAGUUUGAUUAUGAUUAAAACAGGGGUAUGCCCGUUUUACGGACG
rnacentral:lncRNA from 1 species